rnacentral:rRNA from 1 species
UAUCGGCCGGUGAGAGUGGCGGAAGGGCGAGGAACACGUGGGCAACCUGUCCCGGAGGUGGGGAAAACCGCUGGAAACGGCGGCCAAUACCGAAUGUAGCGCCCGCUCGCAUGAGCGGAGCGCCAAAGGGGCGAAAGCUCCCCCUCCCGAGGGCCCGCGCACCAUCAGCUAGUCGGCGGGGUAACGGCCACCGAGGCUCACGGUUAGCUGGUCUGAGAGGAUGGCCAGCCGCACUGGGACUGAGAUACUGCCCAGACUCCUACGGGAGGCUGCAGUCGAGGAUCAUUCGCAAUGGGCGAAAGCCUGACGAUGCGACGCUGCGUGGAAGGAUGAAGGCCCUCGGGUUGUAAACUCCUGUCAUGGGGGAAAAGGAAACGGGACCCAACACGUCCCCGAUUUGAUGGUACCCCAAGAGGAAGCGAUGGCUAACUCUGUGCCAGCAGCAGC